UGGGGAAUAUUGGACAAUGGGCGCAAGCCUGAUCCGGCCAUGCCGCGUGAGUGAUGAAGGCCCUAGGGUUGUAAAGCUCUUUCACCGGUGAAGAUAAUGACGGUAACCGGAGAAGAAGCCCCGGCUAACUUCGUGCCAGCAGCCGCGGUAAUACGAAGGGGGCUAGCGUUGUUCGGAUUUACUGGGCGUAAAGCGCACGUAGGCGGACUAUUAAGUCAGGGGUGAAAUCCCGGGGCUCAACCCCGGAACUGCCUUUGAUACUGGUAGUCUUGAGUUCGAGAGAGGUGAGUGGAAUUCCGAGUGUAGAGGUGAAAUUCGUAGAUAUUCGGAGGAACACCAGUGGCGAAGGCGGCUCACUGGCUCGAUACUGACGCUGAGGUGCGAAAGCGGGGGGAGCAAACAGG
rnacentral:rRNA from 1 species